rnacentral:lncRNA from 1 species
CGACUUGUAGAAAUUGUUCGUAAUGUUGGUGUGUCCUGAAAGGAGCGAAUUGUGAACCCGGUGAUAUUGCUAAUGCUGCACUUUUCCUUGCACGGGCAUAAUUUGGUUGUGGAUGGAGGUUUCACAUCUUUUAAGAAUUUGGAGUUUCCUGCACCAGAUCAAGUGCAUUAGAAAGAUAUUCUGCUUUCAAUUUUUAAAGCUUGUUUAAAGGGGUGGAUUGAAAGAGCUUAUUUAGAUUUGUAUAACAAUAAUAAAUAUAUAAGGCUAGAAAUGCAAAACUCAUUAAAAAUAGCUCAUUAUAUAACUAUAUGGUGAUUUCAGCAUAUUUUUCUAAUUUCUCCAAGAUAACUUACAAUAACAAAUUAUUCAGAACUUGUGCGGAGUUUGCCUUUAUUCCCCAUCUAAUUGUAGAAACAUCUUACACAUAAGGCUUUAUACAAUAAACACUUAAUAAGUGAUUAAUGAACUUGUCGAUCCAAACAUCCCCUUAAAGUUGAGUCAAAUUCACCUUUUCAAUGCUCUUGACCAUCAUGCCAUGUGAGUAGCAUCUCUGAACAGGGUUAGGUUCCUACCAAAAGGUUGGAUGCCAAUUCAAGGACCGAAGCUCUCUGAACGCAUGGCAUUUGAAUCCAGUCUGUAGGGAAAACAAGAGUGACUGAAGCUCUCAGAGCACUCUACAGUUUGAUUGUAGAUAGAUAAAAUGACUUCUUAAAAAGUAAUAUUAAGGAGGUGGUGAUAGAACUUUUUUUUUUUAUCAUGAACAAGUACAAAUAUCCUUCUCCCAAUAAAGUUAGAAAUUUGUGAAAGUUGCUGAAAGUGAUCAAAUCCUAUACAUUAGUUCUUCAAAAAUAGGAACAUAAAGAAUACCAUGGCCACGGUAAGCUAGCAGCUUAACUAAAAAACGGAUUUUCGUAUCAUUCAACAUUAAAUAAUGUAUGCAUCUAUAUGUAUUUUGAAGAAAAACAUAAGAAGAAAUGAGACAUCUCAUUCUGUUAAAUGAGCGACAAUUUCACAUUUGCUUAGCAUAACAUGCCACUGAUGAAUCAAACUUGAAGACAUUAAAAUUGUUGUAAAUUGAUCUAGCCUAUUAUUAUUUAUGAAAACAAAAAUACUAAAUUCAGUGUUGUGAAUUUUAAGGAGAAAUAAAUUGGAAGCAAUGGAUAAUUGGCCUGUCUUUGUUUAACUGUUGUCUUGCAUUUCAGUAGACAUUAGAAUAGAGAUCUAUCUAUAAAAGAAGUGGAUUAGAGUCCAUACUCCAGAGUCUAGACUUCAUUCGACACCUCGGAAUUUAUUAACUAGCGAACAUGUCUUGCAAAGAGGUAUACAUGGCUCAUAAAUCAAUUGUAUAGAUUACAUCAAAAUACAAACCACUGUGACGUAAUUCCUACUGCUUGGUUGCAGGUUGGUCGCCAAACUUCCUCUCGGCUGGUUUGGUAAAUGGGUCCUGGAAAGUACAAUAAAAGACGUAAAUUACAAUCACAUAAUAUUUAACUCUUCAGGGAAAAACGCAACCAAAAUAUUGUGGAUAGGAGAGAGAUAACAACUUCAAAACAUUAGCAUAUAAACCAUUCAAAGAACUGUUAUUGUUCAUCUAAGUAACCUCACCUAGCAGAAUAACAGUUAUUGUAGGUAUUACUGCAAAAUGGAUAGUCCUUGAAUUGGACCUUACUAAUAGUGUGUUUGGUUGGGCCUGUACAAAAUCUCGUGUCCCAAUGCUCAUAAAACGUGAAAAUACAAUUGAACAGCAUAAAAUCAAGAACUGAGUCCCUAUUUGGAUUGGCUUAUUUGAACUUAUUACCUGGCAAAGCACUUGUGAGGCUGUUGAGAAGAACUUAUAAAAACAACUUAUGACACGUUCAUAAACUGUCUUCAGCUGAUUUCAUCUAGCUAUCCAGAACUUAUACAAAAACAGUUUUUCUUUGUGGCUUUGCUGUAAAUUUGGGUUCAUGUUCUGUGAUUAAAGCGGAGCUUUGGGCAGUUGUUUGGAGUCUACAACUUGUAAAGGAGAAAGGGACAGAUCCUCUGUUAACAGUUAAUGCCAUCAACUCAGGUCGUGUGUUGACCCACGCUUGUCACGGUUUGGUCAGGAUGGUUGAGGUCUUGAGGAUUUAAUGGUCAAUUUUGAUCAUGUCAGAAUUAACCUCAAGAGAGGCUAACCAAGUGGCGGAUAGUCUAGCUAAAUUAGGGCCCUUUUUUUUUUUUUGAAACAGCUAAUAUUAUUCUCGACGAGAUGUGCAAGACGCACAAAAACUCGCAGAAGGAGCCAAAAAUGGCUAAAACCAAGGCGCCGUAUAUAGGCGGAACACCUUCUAAAACACCUUAAACCACACUACCUUGCAAACAAAUAACCAAGAGGCCAGGCCAAAAAUCAAAACAGCAUCACAACAGUACAAAUUGUGAGGCUGGAAUAUACAUACAGCAAGAAGGAAAGCAUUACUUAAUUCUAUGCCCAAGAAACUAGCUACUGCUCCGUAAAAGCCCAAGAAAGAAAAAGCAUACCCCUGCCUCGCUAUCAGCACGAAAUUGAUGAAAAUCUAUCAACAAGGCUACCACACUUCCAGCAACUCCCCAGGAUACCAACACAAAAACGCCCACAGCAGAAAACAGGAGCACAGACAAGCCAAAAAAGGCUCCUCCACAACCGAUCACUAUGACAGCAGCCCCUCCAAAUGAGUAGCAGUAGGGAUUAGCCAAGGCACCUACAUCAAAAAAACCCCACAGCAAACUAUUUUCUCAACAGGCAAUCAUUCGGAUUCCAACUCCAUUCGUAGUACAGACAAGUCAUAAUUUUUAGUCCAUUCAAGCACCACCGCCACGAUAGCACUUUAAUAUCCUCCACAAUAGAGUCCACAUCUUUCGACUCAUUGUUGAAAAUAAUUUGAUUCCUAGCUUGCCAAAUACCCCAAACCGUUGCAUGCCAUAUAAGCCUAAGACCUCUCCGAAUCCUCUUACGCCAUAUAAAUUAGGUCCCUUGUAGAAUGUUUAUGUCCGUUGCUGCUUUUAUUUCUAACUCUCUUUUGGGAGAUGCUCACUUUGUAACCUUCCCAAGGGGAUUUUAAUUUAGUUUUUCUUCUGGUGGGCCUUAUGCUAUGUACUUAUGCUAUAAACUGCAAAUUUAGGUACUUAUAUAUCUAAACAGGACCUAAAUCAAAGACUAAAUCAAACAUGGUUCUCUUGUAUAAUCCUCCUAUCUUAGUGACUAAUCCUAAUAUGCAAUACAUUAAGGGAUUAAAUCACUCCUUCCAUAACUAUAUAUUAAAACUAUGCUUAGACUUCGGCUAGAAAAUUAAUCAGCAACGUGAAAUCACUUAAUUAGUCAAUAAAAUACUUGUAUGCAACAAGCUAUUGCAAUUGAAAUAAUAUAAGUUUGCCUACCUCAAGGAAAAAAAAUAACCAAUAAAAUACAUGUUACUACACCCAAAUCAAACUCAAUAAUGUGUUUUAAAUUCCUUGGAGGAGAAAAUCAAUCCAUAACGAAGAAGCAAAAUUAAUCAACAUGACCCAGAAUUUCAGCUUCAUUCAGAAAUAAAAAAGAAUCAAGUGAUCAUAAUUAAUGGCAGAACAUAACGAAACAACCCAAAUUACACAAUUUCAAUGACAAAUCUCAAAAUCCAACCCUCACAACCCCAAAUGAAAUUGAUUAAAUUACUGGAAACCCAGAUCAUGAAUCAUCAUUUACAUGUAUAAAAAUCAAUCUUUUUCAACAAAUAUAAACAGGGAUGAAUCAACCGCAUAAAAGGGGUGAGUGAGAGAGAAUUACAUUCUUGACCAAUAUGAAGUUGGCGACGGCGACAGUGGCCACCACGCCAGCGACGAGAGCCGUCGGACCUGUAAGGAGACUCCACCUCCGAUAGAUCAUCGUUUUCUUCUUCUUCUGACUUUUCUUCUUCCGAUUCAAUCUUUUUAUUAAAUUGAACGCUUCUCGCUCCUCUGUUUUAUUUCUCUACAUAUCAAUUUCUAAACCAUCGUUUUAUUUUAUUUUAAUUGGAAUGUUAAUUAAAUAAAUGUUUUUU